UGCAAGUCGAACGAACUCUUCGGAGUUAGUGGCGGACGGGUGAGUAACACGUGGGAACGUGCCUUUAGGUUCGGAAUAACUCAGGGAAACUUGUGCUAAUACCGAAUGUGCCCUUCGGGGGAAAGAUUUAUCGCCUUUAGAGCGGCCCGCGUCUGAUUAGCUAGUUGGUGAGGUAAAGGCUCACCAAGGCGACGAUCAGUAGCUGGUCUGAGAGGAUGAUCAGCCACAUUGGGACUGAGACACGGCCCAAACUCCUACGGGAGGCAGCAGUGGGGAAUCUUGCGCAAUGGGCGAAAGCCUGACGCAGCCAUGCCGCGUGAAUGAUGAAGGUCUUAGGAUUGUAAAAUUCUUUCAGUAGGGACGAUAAUGACGGUACCUACAGAAGAAGCCCCGGCUAACUUCGUGCCAGCAGCCGCGGUAAUACGAAGGGGGCUAGCGUUGCUCGGAAUUACUGGGCGUAAAGGGAGCGUAGGCGGACAUUUAAGUCAGGGGUGAAAUCCCGGGGCUCAACCUCGGAAUUGCCUUUGAUACUGGGUGUCUUGAGUGUGAGAGAGGUAUGUGGAACUCCGAGUGUAGAGGUGAAAUUCGUAGAUAUUCGGAAGAACACCAGUGGCGAAGGCGACAUACUGGCUCAUU
rnacentral:rRNA from 1 species